UGUCUCUGAUGAUGUUCGCACUGGGCUCUGAGUGACUGUGGCGACGAAUGUGCUGUUCUGCUCUUGACAUGGCAGAACCUGAAGAGACU